rnacentral:rRNA from 1 species
UACGUAGGGGGCGAGCGUUGUCCGGAGUUACUGGGCGUAAAGGGCGCGCAGGCGGUCUGGUAAGUUUGGAGUGACAGUGCUCGGCUUAACUGAGCAAGGCCUUCGAAAACUGCUAGACUUGAGCACUCAAGAGGGACAUAGAAUUCCGGGUGGAGUGGUGAAAUGCGUAGAUAUCAGGAAGAACACCCGUGGCUAAGGCGGCUCUCUAGUACGGUACUGACGCUGAGACGCGAAAGCGUGGGGAGCGAACAGG